rnacentral:rRNA from 1 species
AGGGCGCAUGGUGGAUGCCUUGGCAUCGGGAGGCGAUGAAGGACGUGGUAAGCUGCGAUAAGCUUCGGUAAGCCGCUAAACAGGCUUUGACCCGGAGAUUUCCGAAUGGGGAAACCCGGCAGGGAUUAUGCCCUGUCAUCGUACACUGAAUACAUAGGUGUACGAGGCGAACGCAGGGAACUGAAACAUCUAAGUACCUGUAGGAGUAGAAAUCAAUAGAGAUUCCGUAAGUAGCGGCGAGCGAACGCGGAUCAGCCCAAACCGGCACCACUACGGUGGAGCCGGGGUUGUAGGGCCCCAACAUGGGAUUGGUGAAGAAUAACAGAAGGCUCUGGAAAGUGCCGCCAUAGUGGGUGAUAGCCCCGUAUGUGAAAUUCUGAACCACCCUAGGGUGUCCCUGAGUACCACGGAACACGAGAAAUUUUGUGGGAAUCUGGGAGGACCAUCUUCCAAGGCUAAAUACUACCCGAUGACCGAUAGCGCAUAGUACCGUGAGGGAAAGGUGAAAAGAACUCCGAUGAGGAGAGUGAAAUAGAACCUGAAACCGUGUGCCUACAAGCAGUGGGAGCACUAUGUCUUCGGACAGUGUGACCGCGUGCCUUUUGCAUAAUGAGUCAGCGAGUUACGCUCAGCAGCGAGGUUAAGCCGUUAGGUGGAGCCGUAGCGAAAGCGAGUCUGAAUAGGGCGAUUUAGUUGCUGGGAGUAGACCCGAAACCGAGUGAUCUAUCCAUGGGCAGGUUGAAGCGUCGGUAACACGACGUGGAGGCCCGAACCCACUUAGGUUGAAAACUGAGGGGAUGACCUGUGGAUAGGAGUGAAAGGCUAAUCAAACUCGGAGAUAGCUGGUUCUCCCCGAAAUAUAUUUAGGUAUAGCCUCGUAUGAAUCGUGUCGGAGGUAGAGCACUGGAUGGGCUAGGGGUCUUACCGGAUUACCAAACCUAACCAAACUCCGAAUGCCGGCAACGUAUGUACGGGAGUCAGACUGCGGGUGAUAAGAUCCGUAGUCGAGAGGGAAACAACCCAGAUCGCCAGCUAAGGUCCCAAAGUAUAUGUUAAGUGGCGAAGGAUGUGGAAAUGCACAGACAACCAGGAGGUUGGCUUAGAAGCAGCCACCCUUUAAAGAAAGCGUAAUAGCUCACUGGUCAAGUGGAUCCGCGCCGAAAAUGUAACGGGGCUCAAACAUAUCACCGAAGCUGCGAAUGUGUACCUUAAGGUACACGUGGUAGGGGAGCAUUGUAGCAACCGCUGAAGGUCGACCGUGAGGACGGCUGGAGGAACUACAAGAGCUUAUGCUGACAUGAGUAACGAAAAUGCGGGUGAGAAACCCGCACGCCGAAAGCCCAAGGUUUCCUCCGUCAAGGUAAUCUGCGGAGGGUUAGUCGGCCCCUAAGGCGAGGCCGAAAGGCGUAGUUGAUGGGAAACAGGUUAAUAUUCCUGUACCACCUGUUAUUGCGAUGGGGGGACGGAGAAGGGUAGGCCAUCCGGGUGUUGGACGUCCCGGUUUAAGCGUGUAGGUGGGGAAGGUAGGCAAAUCCGCUUUCCUGUACAACACUGAGACGUGAUGACGAGAGCUUUAAGCUCACAAAGUGGUUGAUCCCAUGCUUCCAAGAAAAGCCUCUAAGCUUCAGACAAUAGGUGACCGUACCGCAAACCAACUCAGGUGGGCGGGCUGAGAAUGCUCAGGCGAUUGAGAUAACUCUGGUUAAGGAACUCGGCAAAAUGACACCGUAACUUCGGGAGAAGGUGUGCCCCCAUUAGGUGAAGCGAUACGCUCGUGGAGCUGAAGGGGGUCGCAGUGAAAUGGUGGUAGCGACUGUUUACUAAAAACACAGCACUCUGCAAACUCGCAAGAGGAAGUAUAGGGUGUGACGCCUGCCCGGUGCCGGAAGGUUAAGGGGAGCUGUUAGCGCAAGCGAAGCAGUGAACCGAAGCCCCGGUAAACGGCGGCCGUAACUAUAACGGUCCUAAGGUAGCGAAAUUCCUUGUCGGGUAAGUUCCGACCUGCACGAAUGGCGUAACGACUUCCGCACUGUCUCAACCAGGGACUCAGUGAAAUUGAAUUGGCGGUGAAGAUGCCGUCUACCCGCGGAAAGACGGAAAGACCCCGUGCACCUUUACUACAGCUUGGCAGUGAUAUUCGGGACAGCAUGUGUAGGAUAGGUGGGAGACUUUGAAGCUGGCACGCUAGUGUCGGUGGAGUUGCCCUUGAAAUACCACCCUUGUUCUUCUGGAUGUCUAACCUAGGCCCGUUAUCCGGGUCAGGGACACUGCCUGGUGGGUAGUUUGACUGGGGCGGUCGCCUCCUAAA